rnacentral:other from 1 species
UGCUGUCUGCCCGAUUCGCGGACUGCGCACAUAUAACCCUACACUCAAAUCAUAGGGAGCCCCCCUCCGCCUGCGGAUUGCAGACCUCCCGGCCCAGCUAGACUGUGGUUGGACGAAGGGAGCGUGAACCACGCGGGAGGGCACCCACCUGUUUCUCUUUGUAGGCAGGUUAUUGAGAUGCGCAUUACGGUCGGGCGGGCUAUCU